CCAGGGAUUGUUGUGGCGUCAGACGCGCAGAGUAGCGGUCUGUGUCCAAGACUCAAGGUCCAAGGCGCCUGUGCCACCCCAGCUAGCGGUCAAGAGGCCACCACCGUGCCCAGGAGAGAUGACAGCACCUGUGGGCUAUGGCAGCCUCUGGGUCUGCUGUUGGCCCUGCCCACCGGCCCUCUCAGGCCGGGCCUGUCAGUGGCUGAGUCCUUCACGCCCCUUGGUCGGGUCUGUCUGCCCUCAGGGCUCCCGCACUGGUGCUUGCCUCCUCCGCCUCAGACUCUUGCUCUUGCUGGACCUUCCACUCAGCCUCGCCGGCGCCCGGCCCCUGGGCUCUUCAGACAAAGCUGACCCCGUGGCCCAGAUAAGGACGUCCGGCAGAGGUAGGGACCCGCCCCGAGGCCUCGGUGGCGGCU
rnacentral:lncRNA from 1 species